rnacentral:lncRNA from 1 species
AAAUGAGACCACUCUGACCAUUUUACUCGCCCUAGCAGAGCUGGUUAGGCAGUUUUUGUGUUAAUCAGAGCAUUGGUGACUGUAACUGUGCUGCUGGAAACAAUUUAAUUACGCUUUUUUGCCGACUUUUACUGACACUGGCCAUAUUCAAUGGGUAUUGAUCACUAGUAAUUACUUAUUCUGUGCUCUGGUACACUCAGAGAGAGUGCUCUGAAAUCGGACAAGCUAGCCAGAGCGAAUUUACGAAAGCACCCGAAUGUCUAUUGAGAACGCACAAAAACUAUACCAUUUAGCUAAACUAAGAAUUACGGGAAUAAUCAAUUCAAUAAACGUUGGGCAGUUAGAUAGCCUAUAGUUAUUAUACUUGGCCAGGUCGCAAUUGUAAAUGAGAACUUGUUCUCAACUUGCCUACCUGGUUAAAUAAAGGUGAAAUAAAUAAAAUAAAUAAAAUACUGUCAAGUUUAAUGUACAGUAUAACUACUAAAGUUAGGUAGAUAGCUAACGUACCGGUACAUACUGCUGUAAUGAUAUGCUAUGUGGUUAGUAAGGACAGCGUAGCUAACAAAUUGUCAGCCAACAUAACGUUAUUUGAAAAGUUAUUACUUUAUUACAUUGAGUAGCAAGCUACCAUGAGGACACGCUCCAUUGACUCUGCGGCUUGAGCAUGCUUUUGGUGCACAGUCAAUAGCGCGCUGGAUUUCAGGCAAGAAGGUUGGUGGUUCGAAACCUGCUCCCCCUGCUUGUUUCAUUUGAAGUUUAUUUGAAAUGAUCAGUUUAUUAUUUGGUUUAUAGUGCCCAUUCUUUGUCAGUUAGAGACACGGUAGUGCAUUGGGACCUAAAAGCAUAAUCACUUCUCUAACUCCCCCUGUUCGUUAGGGCAAAUCUGGUCUGUGAUAGGAUUUUUUUUUACACACCUAUCUCAGCUAUUAGACUAUUCUUUAGUAAAGGUUGAAUAGUCUAUUGUUCAGCUAUUAGGCCACCUCCCCAACUUGCAACAAAUGGAUAUAUCGAGAGCAAAACUUUUUUAUUUAAAAUCAAAAAUAAUAGUUCUGAAAGCAAAAACGAGGCUUCAAAGUAAAACAAAUAUUUUGCAAUCAAAUAUGUUGUAAUAGAGCGCAAAACUUUAUGCUUUUUAUUCCCCAAAAAUAUAUUGAGAACAAAAAAUGUAUUUGAAAACAAAACUCCAAUUUAAUUUCACUAUCAACCACCCUCCAUGUUGGCCAUUUUUGAGUGUCGGUUUGGCUACAACCAAUACUGUUUCUUUCCAACACAAAGGAUGUCAUAGCGGACACUUAUGAAGAAGGACUGUGUGAUGAUGGCAUCUUAGAUACAACAUUGUCAUCUUUGGCGGUAUAGAUGGAUUUUCAAGGAAGAGUGAGAGCUAAUGAAGGGGUCGAAAAUGUAGAUAUUGCCAGAUGUUCACUGUCCGAGGAACAGGCCAUGGAAGCUUUAUUGCUGGCAAAAGUGUCCAUAACCAGAGGUUAAUAUCAGCUGUGUUGGUGAACCCCUCCCGCAUCUGAACUGGCUGACACAGAGGGCACAGUGUGAUCAUAGAUGAACAAUCGAGAGCAUCCUAUUGGGCUGUAUCUCCGACUGGUAUGAAAACUGCUCCGCCCACAACCGUAAGGCUCUCCAGAGGGUAGUGAGGUCUGCACAACGCAUCAUCGGGGGCAAACUACCUGCCCUUCAGGACACCUACACCACCCGAUGUCACAGGAAGGCAAAAAGAUCAUCAAGGACAACAACCACCUGAGCCUGUUCACCCCGCUAUCAUCCAGAAUGCGAGGUCACUACAGGUGCAUCAAAGCUGGGACUAAGAGACUGAAAAACAGCUUCUAUCUCAAGCCCAUCAGACUGUUAAACAGCCAUCACUAACAUUGGGUGGCUGCUGCCAACAUACUGACUCAAAUCUCUAACCACUUUAAUAAUUACAAAUUGGAUGUAAUAAAUGGAUCACUAGUCACUUUAAACAAUGCCACUUUAUUUAAUGUUUACAUACCCUACAUUACUCAUCUCAUAUGCAUACACUGUACUCUAUACCAUCUACUGCAUCUUGCCUAUGCCGCAUGGCCAUCGCUCAUCCAUAUAUUUAUAUGUACAUAUUCUUAUUAAUUCCUUUACACUUGUGUGUAUAAGGUAGUUGUUUUGAAAUUGUUAGAUUACUUGUUAGAUAUUACUGCACGGUCGGAGCUAGAAGCAAAAGCAUUUUGCUACACUCACAUUAACAUCUGCUAACCAUGUGUAUGUGACCAAUCAAAUUUGCUUUGAUUUGAUUUGAUAUAAUAUUACAAUUAUCGUAAUUACAAUGCAUGCUCU